rfam:Edaphobacillus lindanitolerans strain MNA4 genome assembly, contig: Ga0116976_12
CGGGAAAUAGCUCAGCUUGGUAGAGCACUUGGUUUGGGACCAAGGGGUCGCAGGUUCGAAUCCUGUUUUCCCGA